rnacentral:misc_RNA from 1 species
GUGAAUCAUCAAAUUUUUGAACGCAAAUUGCACUUUCCGGUAUUCCGGAGAGUAUUCCUGUUUGAGGGUCAGUAAAAUAAAAAUCGGUGUUGUUGCUGCUUUUCGUUUUGACGCGUCGGAGUUGAGUUUUCUUACCUUGGGUUAAGGGGCUUAAAAUUUUUCAUUAUUUUCUAACGUAUUUAAAUUUCUUACGUACGUUUGAGAUAGCGUAUACUUUAGUAGGUUCGGUCAUCCUCAUGAUUCGCACCUAUAAUUUUUCAUUAAAUGGGUUCAAAUACGGUAAG